rnacentral:lncRNA from 1 species
AUGUUUACUUGCUUUCUCUCAGGCUGUGUUGUCCACUGGGAAAGCAGCAGAAAUACCUGUCAGGCAGGAACCCCUGAAGUGGGCAACACAAGAAGCUCCUUUUAUGAAGGUGCCAAUUGCAAGUAUUCAAGAGUCCUGGAGCCUCAAGACACAUUUUGUGUUGUUUCACAGUUCUGUGCACAGCCCCUGAAGAUAAAAGAAAUUCUUUGACAGAGGGAUGAAGGAAGACCCUGUAAGUAAAAGUUAAUUUACACAUGGCUCUCCACAAUUUUACUUCUCUAGGAUCAC